rnacentral:rRNA from 1 species
GACGAACGCUGGCGGCGUGCUUAACACAUGCAAGUCGAACGGAAAGGCCUGUCCUUCCUUGUGUUGGACGGGUACUCGAGUGGCGAACGGGUGAGUAACACGUGAGUGAUCUGCCCCCAACUUGGGUAUAAGCCUGGGAAACUGGGUCUAAUUCCCGAUAGGACUGCAGGGUGGUGCCUGUGGUGGAAAACGAUUUUCUAGUGGUUGGGGAUGAGCUCGCGGCCUAUCAGCUUGUUGGUGGGGUAAUGGCCUACCAAGGCGGCGACGGGUAGCCGGCCUGGGAGGGUGGACGGCCACAUUGGGAAAGAGAUACGGCCCAGACUGCUACGGCAGGCAGCAGUGGGGAAUAUUGCGCAAUGGGCGGGAGCCUGAGGCAGCGACGCCGCGUGGGGGAUCCCGGCCUUCGGGUUGUAACCUCCUUUCGACCGCGAGGAAGCCGCCUGGUUGGAAGGGUGGUGACGGUAGUGGUAGAAGAAGCACCGGCUAACUACGUG